rnacentral:rRNA from 1 species
GGGUUGUGAGGUUAAGCGACUAAGCGUACACGGUGGAUGCCCUGGCAGUCAGAGGCGAUGAAGGACGUGCUAAUCUGCGAUAAGCGUCGGUAAGGUGAUAUGAACCGUUAUAACCGGCGAUUUCCGAAUGGGGAAACCCAGUGUGAUUCGUCACACUAUCAUUAACUGAAUCCAUAGGUUAAUGAGGCGAACCGGGGGAACUGAAACAUCUAAGUACCCCGAGGAAAAGAAAUCAACCGAGAUUCCCCCAGUAGCGGCGAGCGAACGGGGAGCAGCCCAGAGCCUGAAUCAGUGUGUGUGUUAGUGGAAGCGUCUGGAAAGGCGUGCGAUACAGGGUGACAGCCCCGUACACAAAAAUGCACAUGCUGUGAGCUCGAUGAGUAGGGCGGGACACGUGGUAUCCUGUCUGAAUAUGGGGGGACCAUCCUCCAAGGCUAAAUACUCCUGACUGACCGAUAGUGAACCAGUACCGUGAGGGAAAGGCGAAAAGAACCCCGGCGAGGGGAGUGAAAAAGAACCUGAAACCGUGUACGUACAAGCAGUGGGAGCACAGAGCAAUCUGUGUGACUGCGUACCUUUUGUAUAAUGGGUCAGCGACUUAUAUUCUGUAGCAAGGUUAACCGAAUAGGGGAGCCGAAGGGAAACCGAGUCUUAACUGGGCGUUAAGUUGCAGGGUAUAGACCCGAAACCCGGUGAUCUAGCCAUGGGCAGGUUGAAGGUUGGGUAACACUAACUGGAGGACCGAACCGACUAAUGUUGAAAAAUUAGCGGAUGACUUGUGGCUGGGGGUGAAAGGCCAAUCAAACCGGGAGAUAGCUGGUUCUCCCCGAAAGCUAUUUAGGUAGCGCCUCGUGAAUUCAUCUCCGGGGGUAGAGCACUGUUUCGGCAAGGGGGUCAUCCCGACUUACCAACCCGAUGCAAACUGCGAAUACCGGAGAAUGUUAUCACGGGAGACACACGGCGGGUGCUAACGUCCGUCGUGAAGAGGGAAACAACCCAGACCGCCAGCUAAGGUCCCAAAGUCAUGGUUAAGUGGGAAACGAUGUGGGAAGGCCCAGACAGCCAGGAUGUUGGCUUAGAAGCAGCCAUCAUUUAAAGAAAGCGUAAUAGCUCACUGGUCGAGUCGGCCUGCGCGGAAGAUGUAACGGGGCUAAACCAUGCACCGAAGCUGCGGCAGCGACGCUUAUGCGUUGUUGGGUAGGGGAGCGUUCUGUAAGCCUGCGAAGGUGUGCUGUGAGGCAUGCUGGAGGUAUCAGAAGUGCGAAUGCUGACAUAAGUAACGAUAAAGCGGGUGAAAAGCCCGCUCGCCGGAAGACCAAGGGUUCCUGUCCAACGUUAAUCGGGGCAGGGUGAGUCGACCCCUAAGGCGAGGCCGAAAGGCGUAGUCGAUGGGAAACAGGUUAAUAUUCCUGUACUUGGUGUUACUGCGAAGGGGGGACGGAGAAGGCUAUGUUGGCCGGGCGACGGUUGUCCCGGUUUAAGCGUGUAGGCUGGUUUUCCAGGCAAAUCCGGAAAACUAAGGCUGAGGCGUGAUGACGAGGCACUACGGUGCUGAAGCAACAAAUGCCCUGCUUCCAGGAAAAGCCUCUAAGCAUCAGGUAACAUCAAAUCGUACCCCAAACCGACACAGGUGGUCAGGUAGAGAAUACCAAGGCGCUUGAGAGAACUCGGGUGAAGGAACUAGGCAAAAUGGUGCCGUAACUUCGGGAGAAGGCACGCUGAUAUGUAGGUGAAGCGACUUGCUCGUGGAGCUGUAAUCAGUCGAAGAUACCAGCUGGCUGCAACUGUUUAUUAAAAACACAGCACUGUGCAAACACGAAAGUGGACGUAUACGGUGUGACGCCUGCCCGGUGCCGGAAGGUUAAUUGAUGGGGUCAGCGCAAGCGAAGCUCUUGAUCGAAGCCCCGGUAAACGGCGGCCGUAACUAUAACGGUCCUAAGGUAGCGAAAUUCCUUGUCGGGUAAGUUCCGACCUGCACGAAUGGCGUAAUGAUGGCCAGGCUGUCUCCACCCGAGACUCAGUGAAAUUGAACUCGCUGUGAAGAUGCAGUGUACCCGCGGCAAGACGGAAAGACCCCGUGAACCUUUACUAUAGCUUGACACUGAACAUUGAGCCUUGAUGUGUAGGAUAGGUGGGAGGCUUUGAAGUGUGGACGCCAGUCUGCAUGGAGCCGACCUUGAAAUACCACCCUUUAAUGUUUGAUGUUCUAACGUUGACCCGUAAUCCGGGUUGCGGACAGUGUCUGGUGGGUAGUUUGACUGGGGCGGUCUCCUCCUAAAGAGUAACGGAGGAGCACGAAGGUUGGCUAAUCCUGGUCGGACAUCAGGAGGUUAGUGCAAUGGCAUAAGCCAGCUUGACUGCGAGCGUGACGGCGCGAGCAGGUGCGAAAGCAGGUCAUAGUGAUCCGGUGGUUCUGAAUGGAAGGGCCAUCGCUCAACGGAUAAAAGGUACUCCGGGGAUAACAGGCUGAUACCGCCCAAGAGUUCAUAUCGACGGCGGUGUUUGGCACCUCGAUGUCGGCUCAUCACAUCCUGGGGCUGAAGUAGGUCCCAAGGGUAUGGCUGUUCGCCAUUUAAAGUGGUACGCGAGCUGGGUUUAGAACGUCGUGAGACAGUUCGGUCCCUAUCUGCCGUGGGCGCUGGAGAACUGAGGGGGGCUGCUCCUAGUACGAGAGGACCGGAGUGGACGCAUCACUGGUGUUCGGGUUGUCAUGCCAAUGGCACUGCCCGGUAGCUAAAUGCGGAAGAGAUAAGUGCUGAAAGCAUCUAAGCACGAAACUUGCCCGAGAUGAGUUCUCCCUGACUCCUUGAGAGUCCUGAAGGAACGUUGAAGACGACGACGUUGAUAGGCCGGGUGUGUAAGCGCAGCGAUGCGUUGAGCUAACCGGUACUAAUGAACCGUGAGGCUUAACCUUACAACGCCGAAGGUGUUU